rnacentral:rRNA from 1 species
AGCGAACGCUGGCGGCAGGCCUAACACAUGCAAGUCGAACGAACCUUUCGGGGUUAGUGGCGGACGGGUGAGUAACACGUGGGAACGUGCCUUUAGGUUCGGAAUAACUCAGGGAAACUUGUGCUAAUACCGAAUGUGCCCUUCGGGGGAAAGAUUUAUCGCCUUUAGAGCGGCCCGCGUCUGAUUAGGUAGUUGGUUGAGGUAAUGGCUCACCACGGCGAGGAGCAGUAGCUGGUCUGAGAGGAUGAUCAGCCACAUUGGGACUGAGACACGGCCCAAACUCCUACGGGAGGCAGCAGUGGGGAAUCUUGCGCAAGGGGCGAAAGCCUGACGCAGCCAUGCCGCGUGAAUGAUGAAGGUCUUAGGAUUGUAAAAUUCUUUCACCGGGGACGAUAAUGACGGUACCCGGAGAAGAAGCCCCGGCUAACUUCGU